UACGUAGGCAGCGAGCGUUGUUCGGAGUUACUGGGCGUACAGGGAGCGUAGGCGGUUGGGUAAGCCCUUCGUGAAAUCUCCGGGCCUAACCCGGAAAGUGCGGAGGGGACUGCUCGGCUAGAGGAUGGGAGAGGAGCGCGGAAUUCCCGGUGUAGCGGUGAAAUGCGUAGAGAUCGGGAGGAACACCGGUGGCGAAGGCGGCCAACUGGACAGAUACUGAACGCUGAGACGUCGAAAGCGGUGGGGAGCAAACAGG
rnacentral:rRNA from 1 species